AUGUCCGGCCGCGGCAAGGGAGGCAAGGGGCUCGGCAAGGGAGGCGCGAAGCGCCACCGGAAGGUGCUGCGGGACAACAUCCAGGGCAUCACCAAGCCGGCGAUCCGGCGGCUGGCCCGUAGGGGCGGCGUGAAGCGCAUCUCGGGGCUCAUCUACGAGGAGACCCGCGGUGUGCUCAAGAUCUUCCUCGAGAACGUCAUCCGCGAUGCCGUCACCUACACCGAGCACGCCCGACGCAAGACCGUCACCGCCAUGGACGUCGUCUACGCGCUCAAGCGCCAGGGCCGCACCCUCUACGGAUUCGGCGGCUAG
rnacentral:rRNA from 1 species